rnacentral:tRNA from 1 species
GCCGAAGUGGCGGAAUUGGUAGACGCGCUGGACUCAAAAUCCAGUUUGGCUCAAACCAAGUGCCGGUUCGAGUCCGGCCUUCGGUA